rnacentral:rRNA from 1 species
CUCAACUGAGGGAUGUACGUCGAAACUGAUAGGCUCGAGGAACGUAGAGGAAGGCGGAACUCUCGGAGUAGCGGUGAAAUGCGUAGAGACCGAGAGGUACCCCGAUGGUGAAGACAGCCUUCUGGGCGUUUCCUGACGCUGAAGCGCUAAGGCCAGGGGAGCGAAGGGGAUUAGAUACCCCCGUAGUCCUGGCUUCAAACGAUGUGGGCUUGGUGUCGGCUCCCGACAGAGAGUCGUUGCCGGAGUUAACGCGUUAAGCCCACCGCCUGGGGAUUACGUCCGCAAGGAUGAAACUCAAGGGAAUUGACGGGGGCCCACACAACCGGUGGAGCACGUGGUUUAAUUCGAUGAUAAGCGAAGAACCUUACCAGGGCUUGACCUAGCGGUAGUAGGACCCUGAAAGGGGAACGACCUCAAGCUUUGCUUGAGGAGCC